rnacentral:lncRNA from 1 species
GGCAAGAGAGUGAGAAUAAAAGAAAUUAUCAAAAUUCUGCAGGCGGUAUUAUUUAAUCAUUUUCCCACUGCGGUUAGUAUAAUGAAGAAAGAGAAGUACAAACAACAAGAGAAUCGCCCAAAAAGAAAGAUUAGAAGAAAAGGGUAUCACUAAAAAGAUGUGAAGAAAGUAGAAGCCAACAAAAUUGUUGGGACAUGAGCUUUGCGG